AGCGGAGGAAAAGAAAUUAACUAAGAUUGCCUUAGUAACGGCGAGUGAAGUGGCAAAAGCCCAAACUGGAAAUCUUCAUGCUUCGCAUGACGAAUUGUAAUCUAAAGAGUAGAAGCUCACCGGUAGGUCUCGCAGAAGUGCCUUAGAACGGGCCGCCAGAGAGGGUGACAGCCCCGUAUGUGGUGAGACUUGCUAACGAGCUCUGCUUGAAGAGUCGGGUAGUUUUGAAUUGCUGCCCUAAGUGGGAGAUAGACUUCUUCUAAGGCUAAAUACAUGUGGGAAACCGAUAGCGAACAAGUACUGUGAAGGAAAGAUGAAAAGAACUUUGAAAAGAGAGUUAAAAGACUUGAAAUCGUUGAGAAGGAAGCGGUAGAAAAUUAUUCUCUGCGGUAGCAAAGUGUUCCACACGAGUAUUACGGGUGUAUAGUACGUCAAAGGCUUGCAUUCGUACGUGCUUGUUGGAUUGCGGAGCUCACGCAGUGAGGCAAAAUGAGGUGUUGAAUCCACAAAAGCUUCUAGGAUUUGGGACUCUUCGGAGUCCAUUCCUGGUCUGCUGGUGGGCUUAGCGCCUGAGGAUGCUCUGUGCGAUUUUGCCAAAAUGGUUUUUACCGACCCGUCUUGAAACACGGACCAAGGAGUCUAACAUAUAUGCGAGUGUGCUGGUGGAGAAACCAACACGCACAAUGAAAGUAACAGAUGCCAAGCGCAAGCAGCAGCAUCAACCGAUGAGGUUCCUCUGGUGCCUAUUCGAGUAAGAGCAUAUCUGUUAGGACCCGAAAGAUGGUGAACUAUGCCUGAGUAGGGUGAAGCCAGGGGAAACUCUGGUGGAGGCUCGUAGCGGUUCUGACGUGCAAAUCGAUCGUCAAACUUGGGUAUAGGGGCGAAAGACUAAUCGAACCAUCUAGUAGCUGGUUCCCUCCGAAGUUUCCCUCAGGAUAGCUGGGACAAUAACGCAGUUUUAUUAGGUAAAGCGAAUGAUUAGAGGUAUCUGGGGUUCCUUACCCUGGACCUAUUCUCAAACUUUAAAUUGGUAAGAACCUUUGCCUUUCUUAAUUGAGGUGAGGGGGUCAAUGCGUGUCCCUAGUGGGCCAUUUUUGGUAAGCAGAACUGGCGAUGAGGGUUGCUCCUAACGCUGAGUUAAGGUGCCUAAAUGCAUGCUCAUCAGACACUACAAAGGGUGUUGGUUCAUUUAGACAGCAGGACG
rnacentral:rRNA from 1 species